rnacentral:rRNA from 1 species
UAAGGAAUAUUGCUCAAUGGGAGAAAUCCUGAAGCAGCAACGCCGCGUGGAGGAUGAAGGGUCUAUGACUUGUAAACUCCUGUAAAGAAGGACAAAAUUCCCAUUUGAUGGGAGAUGAUGGUACUUCUGGAGUAAGCUCCGGCUAACUACGUGCCAGCAGCCGCGGUAAUACGUAGGGAGCAAGCGUUGUUCGGAUUUACUGGGCGUAAAGGGCGCGUAGGCGGCGCGGUAAGUCACUUGUGAAAUCUCUGAGCUUAACUCAGAACGGCCAAGUGAUACUGCUGUGCUAGAGUGCGGAAGAGGCAACCGGAAUGCUUGGUGUAGCGGUGAAAUGCGUAGAUAUCAAGAGGAACACCUGAGGCGAAGGCGGGUUGCUGGGCCGACACUGACGCUGAUGCGCGAAAGCCAGGGGAGCAAACG